AAAUGCCCGUGUAUUUGGUGGGAGCUGUUAAUUUGCAUAUCACCACAGCUACAGUUUUAUUUCAUAGUGCGGUGUUAUCAUGAAACAUUCAAGCCCUGCAUACACCCGCAUCAAAGAAAUAAUGAUUUAACAGAUCAGAGAGGGUUAAGGAAGCCCUGUAUUUUCGUCAAUGUGGAAAUACUUUGGGCCCCCCUCUCCACUAAUGUCUUUACCGAGGAGGCCGGGCUGCCCAGCCCACCGCGCCGAGGGAUGCCAGACAAUGGGGUGCGUGCUCCUGGAUCUCCGUACCCCAGAAACAACCCCACGCCCACGGCCCGGAGUCAGACCGGCCUCCCCUGAGCCUUCCUUCACAGCCGGUCCUCCCUCUCCCUCCAACAGGCUGGUUCGAGGUCCAGAGCUCUGGCCAGUGGCCACACAUAAAGCCAGGCAGCGUGCUGAUGGAUGGGGCAGGAGGAAGCAGAGGAGCCCUUGAAGUUGGUAAUAAAUGUGACAGGCCCUGCCGGAUGAGGCUGUGCAUAAUCUCUCUCCGAUGCUCCCGUAUUACCUUUUCUUCCAUUUAUUUUUAUUUUCAUUUUUCCUUUUCAUUUUAUUGAAGUCCCUCUCGUCAUCCCGGCUCCUCCUUUUCUGUGUAGGCACUAAUAAUGACAAUGAAUAACAUUUAAGGAUGCACUUCUUAUUUUUUAUCGCCACUUUUAAUAACAAAAUGUUGACUUGCUGUGGAAUUAGUAGAGACUUCAAAAUCAGAACUCUGACGCAUAAAUGUUUUUUGUAAAGAAUAUUUUGAAUUAUAAUAAUUCCAAUCUGAUUCCAAAUAAUUCGCAAAAAUGAUAGUGAUCGCGCAAUGUUGCUUUUCAGGUUUCAUUUUCCUGACCAUAAUGCGUGAAGAGAGUGAAAGAAGAAAAUUAUAAAUAUACUAAAAAACAUUGAUAUAUUUAUAAAUGCAUCGAUAAUAUAUAUUCAUAAACAUAUGUAUGCAUACAUAUAUUUAAAAAUAUACAUGUUUAAUAAUUCACACUGUAAAUACUCCUCCAGUUGAAACACCAUUCCUAUUGGACAGUGUUGACGCAGUCAGCGGAGCUGCUGGUGUCUGUGAGUGUGCAUGUGUGUGUGUGUGUGUGUGUGUGUAUGUGUGUGUGUGUGUGUGUGUGUGUGUGUGUGUGUGUGUGUGUGUGUGUGUGUGUGUGUGUGUGUCCAAAAGGGCCGUCUCCUCUGGGAGGUGAUCUGAACGACCUCCAAUAACCUCCAGUCCUUCCUGGAUGUCCAACAAGUCGCUCAGAGCUGUCAGGGGGUCUUUCAUACCAGGCCAGUGUCAAUAUGUUAACCAUGCUCACGCGCAACAAAAAGGAUCGAACCGCAAAUUAACUCUCUCAAUUAAUUUGAAUUAUGGAUUUCUCGUGUACGUGUAAACCUUGCACUUUGAAUUAUGAAUAAAUGACAUCGCUUAUGGCCAUAUUUAUGUGUACACUCAUCAGAUAAUGCAUUCAGGUUGUGAGGAAUGUGUUGCAUCUCCCUUACCACAUCUGCUACUAUUAAAUAUAAAACUAAUACUUCAAACCUUUUUCUCUUUCUUUUUUUAUAUAAAUUAUGUUUUUUUUUUAUAUCUGGCAACAACCAAAUUACUUUAGAAAAAUAAUAUUGUAUAAGUGAGAAUGACAAAUGUUAACAUUACUCUAACACAAGGUCACAAUUAAAAAAUGUCUGUUCAUUCACCUCGAACGAUGACUGAGUUCAGGCCUGCCAUACCCCUUAUUUCCCUCAUGAUCACGGUGUGUUCAUCAGUUUAUCAGGAAGAAUAAAUACAAAGCAUGUAUAAACUAAGCAUUACAAAUACAUGUACAUUCUGCGCUGAUAUUCUCACCGAAGGUCAUCGUAACAGCAAGGUGGAAAUAAAUGAAUAAAAUGAUUAAAUCAUUUCAUACGCCUCUCUGCCCAUGACAAUAACUCCAGUAUGAUUCAGCAUUGGAUGUCAAAGAUCUCCUUGGCGUGUGUUCAUCUUGCACCGUCUGAGGCCUGCUCUAACACCACCAUCAGCA